AUGCUCAUUUUGGCAGCACAUAAACUAAAAUUGAAAUAGAGAAGAUUAGCAUGGUUCCUGCACAAGUAUGACGUGUAAAUUUGUAAAGCGUUCCAUAUUUUU